rnacentral:rRNA from 1 species
UGCAUAUUCCAAAAGCGGAGGAAAAGAAACCAACAGGGAUUGCCCUAGUAACGGCGAGUGAAGCGGCAACAGCUCAAAUUUGAAAUCUGGCUUUCGGGCCCGAGUUGUAAUUUGUAGAGGAUACUUUUGAUGCGGUGCCUUCCGAGUUCCCUGGAACGGGACGCCAUAGAGGGUGAGAGCCCCGUCUGGUUGGAUGCCAAAUCUCUGUAAAGUUCCUUCGACGAGUCGAGUAGUUUGGGAAUGCUGCUCUAAAUGGGAGGUAUAUGUCUUCUAAAGCUAAAUAUUGGCCAGAGACCGAUAGCGCACAAGUAGAGUGAUCGAAAGAUGAAAAGCACUUUGAAAAGAGAGUUAAAAAGUACGUGAAAUUGUUGAAAGGGAAGCGUUUAUGACCAGACUUGGACUUGGUUAAUCAUCUGGGGUUCUCCCCAGUGCACUUUUCCAGUUCAGGCCAGCAUCAGUUUUCGCCGGGGGAUAAAGGCUUCGGGAAUGUAGCUCUCUUCGGGGAGUGUUAUAGCCCGUUGUGUAAUACCCUGGCGGAGACUGAGGUUCGCGCUUCUGCAAGGAUGCUGGCGUAAUGGUCAUCAACGACCCGUCUUGAACCCGGGACCA